UUCCUGGAAGAAUUUGCUAAAUAUCCUGUGCAUGCAUAAUUAUAGAAAAAAUGCCAUCAUAUUAAAGUGUUAAUAAGUAAUUAUCCAUGCAUCCAAAUUAAACAUGUCAUAUAUGUAAAAUGAUUAGAAUUGCAUUUAGUUUCACAAUAUGCUGCUUCUAUCCUUGUUUAAUAUGCUUAAAAUAUUGUUUGUUUAAAUUUGCUUAGAUGCCACGUUAAAAUGAUUUAUUUCAUAACUAAAUAACUGUAGCCCCAAUUUUAAUAAACUUUAUAUGUAAAUGGGGUAGAAAAAUGCAUAGAUUAACUUGGUGCACUUUGUUUUACUGCUUAACAACAUUAAAAUAUGGUUUAGGGCAGAACAGUACCAAUUCCAAAAUAUGCAUAUGAGGAUUUUCUGGAAUUGUUGUUUGUUGUUUCCGGCCUCAUUUAAACUUUCUUAAAUAGAUAGUUUUAUUAUGCUUCACCUCUUGCCAUGUUAAUCAACAUUUAAUAUUGUUGGGUACAUAAUCGAGAGAGAACUAAAUAACUUAAUGUGGUGUUUCGUCCAUAUGCAACUCGUUGCAUAUUAAGCUCCACUUAAUUUGUAGUAUUGUUUGUUGCACUUUGCCAUGCCAUGCAUCUUUAAACCGGACAUGCAUCAUCCUUGGUUGUGCAUCAUGCCAUGUUUAUGCUUAUGUGUUUUACCAUGUUGUUUGCUUCUUUCCGGUUUGCUCCUCUCGUUAGCUUCGGUUUCGUUCAGCAGUUGUGAGGAUUCGUUCGACUACGUUCGUUUGUCUUCUUCAUGGACUCGUUCUUCUUCCUUGCGGGAUCUCAGGCAAGAUGACCAUACCCUUGAAAUCACUUCUAUCUUUGCUUGCUAGUUGUUUGCUCUAUUGCUAUGCUUGCGCUACCUACCACUUGUUUAUCAUGCCUCCCAUAUUGGCAUGUCAAGCCUCUAACCAACCUUUCCUAGCAAACCGUUGUUUGGCUAAGUUACCGCUUUGCUCAGCCCUUCUUAUAGCGUUGCUAGUUGCAGGUGAAGAUGAAGUUGGUUCCAUGUUGGAACAUGGAUAUUUUGGCAUAUCACAAUAUCUCUUAUUUUAUUAAUGCAUCUAUAUAUUUGGUAAAGGGUGGAAGGCUCGGCCUUAUGCCUGGUGUUUUGUUUCACUCUUGCCGCCCUAGUUUCCGUCAUACCGGUGUUAUGUUUCUUGAUUUUGCAUUCCUUACGCGGUUGGGUGAUUUAUGGGACCCCCUUGACAGUUCGCCUUGAAUAAAACUCUCCAGCUGUUCGCGGUUGGGUGGUCUUGCUGGUCUUGUUUUACCAUUGUCGAAAUGUCUUGUAAACCGGGAUUCCGAGACUGAUCGGGUCUUCCCGGGAGAAGGAAUAUCCUUCGUUGACCGUGAGAGCUUAUAAUGGGCUAAGUUGGGACACCCCUGCAGGGUAUUAUCUUUCGAAAGCCGUGCCCGCGGUUAUGAGGCAGAUGGGAAUUUGUUAAUGUCCGGCUGUAGAGAACUUUACACUUGACUUAAUUAAAAUGCAUCAAUCGCGUGUGUAACCGUGAUGGUCUCUUUCCGGCGGAGUCCGGGAAGUGAACACAGUCUGGGUUAUGUAUGAAUGUAAGUAGUUUCAGGAUCACUUCUUUAUCACUUCUAGCUUCUCGUCCGAUGCGUUGCUUCUCUUCUCGCUCUCAUUUGCAUAUGUUAGCCACCAUAUAUGCUUAGUGCUUGCUGCAGCUCCACCUCAUUACCCCAUCCUUCCUAUAGCUUAAAUAGUCUUGAUCUCGCGGGUGUGAGAUUGCUGAGUCCCCGUGACUCAUAGAUUCUACCAAAACAGUUGCAGGUGCUGAUGUUACCAGUGCAGGUGACGCAACCGAGCUCAAGUGGGAGUUCGACGAGGAACUUGGUCGUUACUAUGUUUCGUUUCCUGAUGAUCAGUAGUGGAGCCCAGUUGGGACGAUCGGGGAUCUAACAUUUGGGGUUAUAUUCUUUUCUUUUGGAUUUGACCGUAGUCGGUCUAUUUUUGUAUUUUGGAUGAUGUAUCAAUUUAUUUAUGUAUUGUGUGAAGUGGCGAUUGUAAGCCAACUCUCUUAUCCCAUUCUUGUUCAUUACAUGGGAUUGUGUGAAGAUGACCCUUCUUGCGACAAAACCUACAAUGCGGUUAUGCCUCUAAGUCAUGCCCCGAUACGUGGGAGAUAUAGCCGCAUCGUGGGCGUUACAAGUUGGUAAUCAGGGCCAUCCCCGACUUAGGAGCCCCCUGCUUGAUCGAAUCGCUGGCGUUGUUGAGUCUAGAAAAAAAAUGUUUUGAGUCUUAGGAUUAUAUAUAUCAGAGAGUAGGAUUCUUUUUACUCCUCAGUCCCUUCGUCGCUCUGGUGAGGUCUCCUGACGUAGAAGUUUUGACUCUUCUCUCCUCAAAUUUCACUAAAAUAAAUUUAGGAUCACGUGGGUAUCUUGGAAUCGUUCCGAUGGUUUUGUGAUGAGAACAUUGUUCUUGGUGCCUCCUAACAUUUAGGGGUUGUGGCAGUGUCCCGGGGAGUUGAGCUCCGAGGUGUUGUCGUCACAAUUUUAUCGUUGUAGUUCUGGAAUACCUGAGUUCCGCCGACAUCGAAAAUCUCUUUUAUGCAGUUGUUGGUGAGAUCACCUCGACGCCACCCAGUACUAGGGCGGGAGUUCGGGAGUAUUGCCAUAACUCGUAUAACAGAUGCUUUUUGAAGGUUGAGGUAAAUGAUUUCCGAAGGUUUCUUGGUUAUGUGUUGAAGGAUGGAUACAGCUGGGUCUAGGUAUUGUUAGUUUGGGUGAGAUAUAUUGUGUCCCCUGUAUCCCCAACACCUGAUUGCAUAACUAGACAGUUUCGGGAGUUUACAAGUGGGAAUUCAAGUAGCUCCUAGGGUAUCUUUUCGACAGAUGCAUGAUAUGAGAUUGGGGUUCGACGUCUAGUGGUCCGCCUUUCCACGGUUAGUUUUACAGUGGUCUCAUAGUGUCUUAAAAGAGUCCUUGGCUAUGCCGACUCGGGGAUGCUUCGUAUGUCAUGUGCACUGCCUUGUACAUGAUGGUGCUGUACGAUCGAGCCCAUGUGGGCCCCACCACGAAAACUUCGGACGAAAUCUCUAUCAUAUGUUUGUUCCGGCUUAUUCUGCAAGCUAGUCCUUUGUUUUGUUUUAAGUUGUGGUAUUCGAGUUGCUUCAUUGUCAGUUGUUGAUUCCCUACCUUUUCUAAGUGGUGUUCUCAUAUUCAUAUGUGGAUACUAAUCCUUCUUGAUCACUGAGGUUGUCAUGUCAACUCUUUUCCAACUGACGUGCUUCUCUUCAAGUGGAUCCGAUCAUUUCAACAUCCGCAAGAUCAAUUCUAAGCUUUUUCUCUACGGUGUUCGGUUCAUCCGUUCCAAAUUGUCUUUGUUUUCCGGCCCUCCCACCCUUUUUCUUCAAGGACAAAGAUUUCUUAACGAAGUAUCCUUUUUAUUGAUGGGAAGUCUCUCCAUCCUUUUCCGUCAAUAUUCUUAUCCGGUGAUUCUCAGGAAGAUACUAACGGAGCUUCAAGUUCAUCAUUCUCUUUUCUUCUCCGGUGGAUUCAAUUCAAGCUUUCGGUGUUGAUCAUAUUCCUUUUCUCAUUUCAAAUGUUUUUCUCGUACCGGUGCACCUCUUAAUCAUCCACUUCUCGCUAUUCAAUUGUUCGGGAGUGAUGAAGAUAUCUUAGAGGAUUCAAGUUUCUAUUCUCAAUUCACUCAAGUUCUUUUGAGGAUGCUAUCUCAUUCAGGCCAUUUAAUUCAGCCGGUGCAAUCUCUCUUUUCAAGCAAUCAUUCAACGGUGGUUCUUUUGAGUGGGCCCUAACCCAUAGGUCUUUUCCCAGGAUCUUACCUGACUGUUCUAAUUUUCCCGGAGCUUCUAAAAUUCUUUUCAAAGUUUCAUGUAAGAAUGAAUUAUCAUCAGUCAAAUGUCUUUCUCCAAGAUCUUUCAAAUUCUUUUCAUCGUUGGUUCAACCUUCCUAAUUUUCAUUCCGGAGUGCCUCAACAAUUCAUGGUGGUGUUUCUCGUCAUCAUUCUCAGAUUUUGAAGACCGAAGAGGAGUUCCUCUUAAAUCCUUACCCGUUCUUCCAAAGAUGCGAAGUUCAAGCUUGAUGCCAUCCUCUCAUAAUUGUUUUCGAUUGUGAGAAUUCUUUUUACCCAUCCGGAGCAUUUCAUGAGUUGUUCCCAUUUCUUUCCUCCGAAGGCCAUCAUGUCAUAAUUAUUCAUUCCAGCUUUCAGCUCUCGUUCUCCAAAUCUUACCGGUGCAUCAUUCAAGUAUUCUCUAAUCAGCUCGUGAUCUCUUCGUUCUCGCGUAUUUAAAUUCUAUCAAGUAUCUUUAUUCGUUUUCUAACUCUUCCCGGCGAUUCGUUCUCUUUUCUUCGUUCGUUUUCAAUUCUUAUGGUGGUUUGUUCAAGAUUUCUCUUCCUUCAUCAUCAUAUUAACUCAUUCGUUGUUCAAAUCCUACCGAUGGUUUGUUCAAGACCUUCCAAAGUUUGUGCUAUAUCUCUCUUAAUCCUUUAUACGAGAAUUAGUAGUAUCCCAAAUCCGUUGCUUGUCAUCAAUUUAUAUUGGUGAAGGAUACGCAUAACAUAAUUCUUGUUCUUGUUUCAUCCAAGUGAUUAAUUCCUUCUUCCGGAGCUCGUAGUGAUAUCAAUUUCUCAGUUAUAUGUUGUUCAUCUUUCUUUUCCGGAGUUCCAAGUUUUCCGCAUUAUCUCAUCGCGAAGCUCCAUCUAAAUCAUCGCAAGGCUUCACCUUGUGUUCUCAACUUCUCUUUAUUUUAUCAUCCUUUCAUUAUCGGAGUUCUUCAUGGAGGUUCACAUGGUGGUUCGUCAAGGAUUCUUUUCAUUUUUCAAUUGUUCUUCAAGAUUUCUCUCGAAGCUAUGAUCCGUCAAGCUAUACUCUAAAAUAGACAUGGUGCUCAACACAUGUUUGUUUUGAGGAGUUCAAACAUUCUUCAUCUUGCAUUCCGAAGUGCAAUUCUUUCUCUCUUAUCUUUUGAGGUGGUGUUAUGUCAUUCUUGAUAAUUUUCUUCAUGUUUCAUGAUUCACAAGUUGUCAAGAAUGAGAUAUUUAAACCCAUCAUAUUUUCUUCGUCCAUGAGUUGUUUCAACCCAUAAUAAUCUCUUUGUUGGAGUUAUCUUGGUAUAUAUUUCACUUAAAGCAUUCUCCAAGGAAUGUUGCUAAUUGUGGUGUCUAUCAAUGAUCCAAGUUUGCUCCUAUCCUCUCGACGAGAGAAGUUUUCAUCUCUUCGUUGAUCUCAAGCAAGCAAUUGUUUUCGUUAGUGGCAGAAUUUCACCUCAAGUUUUCAGAUGUCUCCAUAAGCCCACGAAGAUCAUAUCCUUUCUUUGUUGAUUUUUCAACAACUCCGUUCUAUCCUUCUUUUAUGGAUGCUCUCUCAAAUUCAAUUAAGGUAGAACAUGUUGUUUUCUUCUCAGUUCUUUUCAUUGCAUUCUUCCAUUUCUACCGGAGGCAUUGUGAUAUUGCUCUUUUCGACCCAUCUUCUUGUUUUGUCAAGAUCAUCUUCUUUCCUUGCUUAUCCAUUUAACCGGAGUGUUGUGUCAUCUCUUCAAUUUCUUUUCAUCUUAUCAAGUUUUUCCUUCUCUUUUUCUACCGGAGUGCUGUCAAAAUUAUGUCAUUCUUGUUCCUUGGCUAUCUCGUUAUACCGGUGUGGUUUCAUAUUCUUUUCGUUCGUUAAGCCCUUGUUUCAUGUCUUUCAACCCACAAGGUUCUCAUAAUGUUCCUUGUUCCCCUUUUCUAACGGAGUGUUUGUAAUAUCGUUCAACUCCGUUGUAUUCUUUUCUCAAAAUUGUUUAACCUCUCAAGGUUCUUUGGUUUCACUCGUUUGUACAAGAAGCAACUUAGUUUUACCUCUUCUCCUCAUCUUCCAUUUUCCCUCCGGUGCCAUCUUAGAUCUCGGGACGAGAUCUCUUGUAAGUGGAGGAGUGUUGUAACGCCCCGAGACCGAUGCUCCAGACGCCUUCCAUAUAUUUCGUGUUCGCCGUGUGUUUUAUUUUGUUUGUUCCAUUCAUCAUGUCAUCAUGAGCAUUGCAUCGCAUGUUUUCAAAAAACUUGCACCCGUUGAUAGUUGCCACUUCUUCCUCGUCUCUGUUGACCUUUCUCAAGACCGACCAUUCUUUUGUUGCCCGACUGUUUGACCCUCUCUACACAUUGCUCAAACCCCUCACACGAGUCCGGAAACUGCCCUGAACCAGAACCGCUCAGUCAUCACCAUUGGAUUCGGAUCAUCCCCAAACAUCUAUAAAUCAUCUCCGUUUUCUUAUUUAGACUCCCUAUCUAUUUAUUUCUCGACCGUCCGAUUAAAAUCGGAGGGACCAAAUACCCCUACCUAAAAAUCCACUUGCUAUAUAUAAGACCAUCACCUACCAAAUCAUCCCAACGCUAAUUUCUAGGAGGUUUGUCCCCAUCGCCGCCGCCACCCGGUCUCGAUCCACCUCGGGAUCCCCUUCUCCAUGUCUUCCUCCACCCACCAACCAGAGCAGCCAGCCCCGCUCCUCGUGCUUGAGGCCUCCUGAGCCGCUCCUCGCCGAACUCCUCCCACAGCAGCUCUAGCCCCGCCUCGUCGCCGUCCAAAGCCACCUCGUCCCUGCACCCCCGAGCUCCCUGACCAGCGCCGCGCCCGAGCCCGCAGUCUCCUCCCGCGACCUCCCGCGGGCCCGUGCCUGUGCCCCCUGGCUUCCUCAAGCCGGAGCUCUCCAGCCGCAUCGAUCCGCCGGCAGCAAUGACCAGCAGAUGAGCGCCAGGCCCCUGCUCCUUUCCCUCUUAGUCUUCCUUUCCUCCUCAUGUAUCUCUCUCUGUCCAGGAACCCAGGACCGCCAUGACGCCGCCACGAACGGAAGCAACCUCCUGCCGCCCUUCACCUCCUGCCGUCGCCCGGAUCCAGCGCCCCUUCGCCCGUCCAUCCCCGGCCUCCUGUGCUCGCCUACUUCCUCUGCAUCGAAACCGAGCGCCCCAUCUCGUUGACCAGAUCGAGCGCGAGAGCUCGAGCACGACGCCCCAGCGCCCGCGCCUGGGCCACCUCGGCUUCGGUCCAGCGGCCCCCUCCGUUGCGCGAGACCCAGCGCUCCAUCUGGCCUCCUCUGCCUCGGCCUUUAGGCCCAAUGUGAGCAGCCCAGUUCCAUCAGUUUCGACCCAGUGUAGUUUUUUUCCUGGAUGAAUUUGCCAAAUAUCCUAUGCAUGCAUAAUUACAGAAAAAUGCCAUCAUAUUAAAGUGUUAAUAAGUAAUUAUCCAUGCAUCCAAAUUAAACAUGUCAUAUAUGUAAAAUGAUUAGAAUUGCAUUUAGUUUCACAAUAUUCUCCUUCCAUCCUUGUUUAAUAUGUUUAAAAUGCUGUUUGUUCAAAUUUGCUUAAAUGCCAUGUUAAAAUGACUUAUUUCAUAACUAAAUAACCGUAGCUCCAAUUGUAAUGCCCACGAUGCGGCUAUAUCUCCCACGUGUCGAGGCACGACUUAGAGGCAUAACCGCAUAGUGGUUUUGUCGCAAGAAGGGUCAUCUUCACACAAUCCCAUGUAAUGUACAAGAAUGGGAUAAAGAGUUGGCUUACAAUCGCCACUUCACACGAUACAUAAAUAUAAUUCAUACAUCAUUCAAAAUACAAACAUAUAGACCAACUACGGCCAAAAUCCAGAUGAAAAUAAGACAACCCCAAAUGCUAGAUCCCCGAUCGUCCCAACUGGGCUCCACUACUGAUCAUCAGGAAAAGACACAUAAUAACGACCAUGUUCCUCAUCGAACUCCCACUUGAGAUCGACCCCAUCAUCUGCACUGGCAUCGUCAGCACCUGCAACUGUUUUGGUAGAAUCUGUGAGUCACGGGGACUCAGCAAUCUCACACCCGCGAGAUCAAGACUAUUUAAGCUGUAGGAAAGGAUGGAGUAAUGAGGUGGAGCUGCAGUGGCAAUAAGCAUAUAUGGUGGCUAGCAUACGCAAGAAAGAGCGAGAAGAGAAGCAACGGAACGGUCGUCUUCUAGUAAUGACCAAGAAGUGAUCCUGAACUCCUACUUACGUCAAACAUAACUCAGACCGUGUUCACUCCCCGGACUCCGCCGAGAAGAGACCAUCACGGCUACACACGCAGUUGAUGUAUUUUAACUGGGUCAAGUGACAAGUUCUCUACAACCGGACAUUAACAAAUUCCCAUCUGCCUCAUAACCGCGGGCACGGCUUUCGAAAGAUAAUACCCUGCAGGGGUGUCCCAACUUAGCCCAUCAUAAGCUCUCACGGUCAACGAAGGAUAAACCUUCUCCCGGAAAGACCCGAUCAGUCUCGGAAUCCCGGUUUACAAGACAUUUCGACAAUGGUAAAACAAGACCAGCAAAGCCGCCCGAAUGUGCCGACAAAUCCCGAUAGGAGCUACACAUAUCUCGUUCUCAGGGCACACCGGAUUGUCCAAGCUUCCGAUAGGCCAGCCCAAAGUUGCCCCUGGUGGCCACCGGCGACUGACAGUUUGGACCAAUACUGAGAGGAGCACUGGCCCGGGGGUUUAAAAUAAAGAUGACCCUCGGGCUCUAGAAAACCCGGGGGAAAAAGGCAUAGGUCGCAAAUGGUAAAACCAAGGUUGGGCCUUGCUGGAGGAGUUUUAUUCAAGGCGAACUGUCAAGGGGAUCCCAUAAAUCACCCGACCGCGUAAGGAACGCAAACUCAAGGAACAUAAUCCCGGUAUCACAGAAACUAGGGCGGCAAGAGUGGAACAAAACACCAGGCAUAAGGCCAAGCCUUCCACCCUUUACCAAAUAUAUAUAGAUGCAUUAAUUAAAUAAGAGAUAUUGUGAUAUCCCAACAUAUCCAUGUUCCGACAUGGAACAAACUUCAACUUCACCUGCAACUAGCAACGCUAUAAGAAGGGCUGAGCAAAAGCGGUAACUUAGCCAAACAACGGUUUGCUAGGAAAAGAUGGUUAGAGGCUGACAUGGAAAAAUGGGAGACAUGAUAUAGCAAGUGAUAGGUAGCGCAGCAUGGCAAUAGAGCGAACAACUAGCAAAGCAAAGAUAGAAGUGAUUUCGAGGGGUGGUCAUCUUGCCUGCAAGGUUCUCAGGGUUGUCGAAAGCUUGAUCCUCGUAAGCGUACUCAACAGGUUCCUCGUUCACGAACUCAUCUCCCGGCUCUACCCAAAACAAGAACACAAGCAAACGGAACCACAAUCAAUCACGAGAAAUGCACAAGCAACAUCAUGCAAAACAUGUAUGAUAUGCGAGAUAUGAUAUGCGAUGCAUAUGCGUGCUCCGGAAGGAAAAAAGAUGAACAAGGCAGUAACUUGGCAAACCAAGUAUGCCACUGGAAAGAUAAGAUGAUUUCGGUCGAAAUCGAUAUAAAGAUCACCGGAAACGGAUGCACGGUUUGCAAAUGGCAAGCAAAACAAGAAUGACACGAAUCUGCGAUUAACAGCAAGAUAGCACUUAAAAUGCAACAAGUAACAAUUCUACAGCACUCCAACAUAGCAACAAAGCAUAUGACAGUAAUCUACAGGAGAUGCUUGACAAAAGAUGAACACUGAGCUACGUCUAGAUCACAACAUAACAAGCGCAAACAAGCAUGGCAAAAGUGCAAAAGAUAACAGGAUCACAGACUUGGUGAAAAACUGGACAUGGCAGAAAACAGCAUCAGGUAGCAAUGUUCAGAGCAAGAAAUCAACAUGCUACAGAAACUUAACAUAGAAAAACAAGGCAUGGAAGUAUUCUACUAAAUGCACAUGACAAAAUCCCUUACUGAACAUAAGCCAAAAAGGACCAGAAGAUAUGAUGGCAAGCAUGUGAACAUAGCAAGUCUCGUUAUCAGGUUUCAGACUUAGCAGAAAACAGAGCAUGGCAGAAACAAUAAUAUGUAGGCAUCUUUGUGAGCUUGAUACACUCACCACAUAGCAAUGCAUGACAAAAAAAACAUACCUACAGAAAGAUGGCAUGUUUAUGCAGCUAACCAUGGCAAGAGCAAUUCAAUAGCAUGUAUGGAUCAACUACAAUAAGCUUGGCAAAAAUGAAUAUCAUGUUAAGAAUCUGCCAGAAAUAUUUUAUAGCAAAAGUAGAGGAAGAUUUAGUCAUGCUAUGGCACUCCAUAAUUUCAAACAAGGGCAGGAGUUGAUCAAUUACAACUAUAGCUACAAAACAUCCUUACUGAAAAUCUCCAAAAUAUGCAUGGAUCUCUCUGUAGCAUCAAGUUUACAUGGCAACAGAAUAACAGCAGACAAGGACUUGGAGAAAUCACUAAGUCCCUGAAAUCAGAAACAUUACAGAGCCUACUUUGCAUGCUUGUGCUAGUCACCACAGAGAUCACAAAAAUACAUGGCAUACACCCUUGGAAAGAUGGCAUGGCAUACAAUAAAACGCAUGUAGAGCUCAUGCCCAUAAGAUGCACAGAUUAAAUGAUACAAAAAUGACAAAUCUCCAAGUUCUGUUAAGAACCAUAGGAUAAAAGCAACUUGCCCUCUUGCAACAGAUAUUUGGGCAUCAAGAUGACCUCUAAUGAAAAUGGUGCGAUUGAACAAAAUGUAGAGCAUCACGAGACGAACAAUUUGACGUAUUACACACGCGAAACGGAGAUACAGGCAAGGAUUUAUGCACUAUUAAACAUGAGCAUAUAUUAAGAAAAAUCACAGACUAAGAAAAAUAUGGGGGUCGGGGAAAGUCAACGCUACAGUGAUUUCUGGAUCCAGAUCGGAUCGAGGGACUUUGCUCGGGCACGGGCUCGCCGGCCGGAGCUCUCGAGCUCGCCGUGGGAGAGGAGAGGGUGAAGGCCGGAGGGAGGCGAUGGAGGGGCGCGGCGAACGGCGGCAGGGCACGGCGCCGGUCGGCGCGACGCCUNNNNNNNNNNNNNNNNNNNNNNNNNNNNNNNNNNNNNNNNNNNNNNNNNNNNNNNNNNNNNNNNNNNNNNNNNNNNNNNNNNNNNNNNNNNNNNNNNNNNNNNNNNNNNNNNNNNNNNNNNNNNNNNNNNNNNNNNNNNNNNNNNNNNNNNNNNNNNNNNNNNNNNNNNNNNNNNNNNNNNNNNNNNNNNNNNNNNNNNNNNNNNNNNNNNNNNNNNNNNNNNNNNNNNNNNNNNNNNNNNNNNNNNNNNNNNNNNNNNNNNNNNNNNNNNNNNNNNNNNNNNNNNNNNNNNNNNNNNNNNNNNNNNNNNNNNNNNNNNNNNNNNNNNNNNNNNNNNNNNNNNNNNNNNNNNNNNNNNNNNNNNNNNNNNNNNNNNNNNNNNNNNNNNNNNNNNNNNNNNNNNNNNNNNNNNNNNNNNNNNNNNNNNNNNNNNNNNNNNNNNNNNNNNNNNNNNNNNNNNNNNNNNNNNNNNNNNNNNNNNNNNNNNNNNNNNNNNNNNNNNNNNNNNNNNNNNNNNNNNNNNNNNNNNNNNNNNNNNNNNNNNNNNNNNNNNNNNNNNNNNNNNNNNNNNNNNNNGCGGGCAGGCGGCGGCAAUGCGGGCUCGCCGGGCCGGCGGCGGCGGGGCUGAUGACGCGGCGGCGCGCGAUUCGACGGGGCGGCGGCGGUGGACGCGUCCAGCUCCGCCCGGACGUGUCCGGCGGCGGAGAGGGACGAGUGUUAGGGUUGGACUAUGUUUGUAUCUCGGGUGAGAUGCAUUUAAAUAGGUAGAGGGAGCUAGGAGGCUCCAAAUGAGGUGCGGUUUUCGCCCACACGAUCGUGAUCGAACAACCUAGAGCAUGGAAGAGAGUUUUUGCUGGACAAUCAAAUGGACUUUGCGGAUGCCCGGUUAACCGUUGGAGUACCAAACGACCUCCAAAUGGAACGAAACUUGACCGGUGAUCUCCGGGUGGUAUAAUAAGGCCACUUGGCAAGCCUCGGUCCAUUCCGAGAAAGUUUGACACCCGCACACGAAAGAAAACAAGAGGGGUGCACCGGAGGAGAUAGGAGCGCCGGAUUGCAAAACGGACAACGGGGAAAAUGCUCGGAUGCAUGAGACGAACACGUAUGCAAAUGCAAUGCGCAUGAUGACAUGAUAUGAAAUGCAUGACAAGGACAAAAGCAAAACGAAAGACAAAACCCAACCACGGAGGGAAUAGCAUAUCACAUAGCCGAAAAUGGCAAGAGUCGGAGUUACAAAUAUGGCAAGUUACAUCCGGGGUGUUACAACACUCCACCACUACGAGAGGAUCUCGUCCCGAGAUCUAGGACUGAAAGAACUCCGGGUAUUCGGAACGGAGAUCGUCCUCGCGUUCCCAGGUGGCUUCCCGGUCGGAAUGGUGCGACCACUUCACUUUCAGGAAUUUGAUUGACUUGUUGCGAGUCUGGCGCUCAGUUUCUUCAAGAAUAGCAACGGGGUGCUCAUGAUAAGACAAAUCUUCUUGGAGGUCAAUCUCUUCGAAGUUGAUAGUGCGCUCAGGCGUCUUGAAGCACUUGCGGAGCUGUGACACGUGGAACACAUCGUGCACGUUCGCGAAGUUGGAAGGAAGCUCAAGUUGAUAGGCGAGGUCGCCUAUUUUGCCAACGAUCUUGAAAGGACCCACGUAUCUAGGGGCAAGCUUCCCUUUGAUACCGAAGCGACGAGUGCCUUUCAUUGGAGAGACGCAGAGGUAGACAUGGUCUCCGAUCUCGAAAGCCAAAUCACGAUGCUUACUAUCAUAGUAACUCUUCUGGCGCGAUUGCGCGGCUUUGAGAUUAUCACGGAUGACUUUACACAUUUCUUCAGCUUCAGUGAUUAAGUCAUUGCCAAGAAGUUGGCGUUCACCAGUCUCUGACCAAUUGAGAGGAGUACGGCACUUUCUGCCAUAGAGAAUCUCGAAUGGGGCCUUGCCCGAACUUGCUUGGAAGCUGUUGUUGUAGGAGAAUUCAGCAUAUGGAAGACAAUCUUCCCAUUUCAUGCCAAAGGAAAUGAAACAAGCCCUGAGCAUAUCUUCAAGAAUUUGAUUGACUCGCUCGACUUGGCCACUAGUUUGAGGAUGGAAAGCUGUGCUGAAGCGAAUGUUUGUGCCCAUGGCCUUCUGGAAGGAGUCCCAGAACUUAGAGGUGAAGAUACUUCCACGCUCUGAAGAAAUCAAUUGUGGAAUGCCGUGCAAGGAGACAAUUCUGAAGGUGUAAAGCUCUGCCAGCUGAGCUGCUGUGAUGGAUUCUUUGAUUGGAAGGAAAUGAGCCACUUUAGAGAGCUUGUCGAUGACAACGAAGAUAGCAUGAUUUCCACGCUUGGACUUUGGAAAACCCGUCACGAAGUCCAUUUCGAUAUGAUCAAACUUCCAUUCCGGGAUAGCAAGAGGUUGGAGGAGACCAGCUAGUCGUUGGUGUUCUGCUUUCACUCUUCGACAGACAUCACAUUCAUUCACGAAUUGAGCAAUUUCUCGCUUCAUUCGAGUCCACCAAUACGACUGCUUGAGGUCAUGAUACAUCUUCGUACUCCCAGGAUGAAUGGAAAGGAGAGAAUUGUGCGCCUCGUUCAUUAUGACUUUCCUUAGAUCACCUUUAGGAACCACAAUCCGGUCCUCGAAGAACAAAGUGUCUCUGUCGUCAAUGCGAUAGCACUUGUAUUUGGAAAGACCCUUGUCGAUACCACGUUUCACCUUCUUCACCAUGGCAUCAAGGAGUUGUGCCUCAUGAAUCUGAUCUUCCAAAGUAGGAGAUACUAUGAGGUUGGCAAGAAAGCCUUGAGGAACAACUUGGAGAUUCAGCUUGCGGAAAGCUUCACAAAGAUCCGGUUGGAAAGGCUUGAGGAUUAAGCUGUUGCAAUAAGCCUUCCUGCUUAAAGCAUCUGCAAUGACAUUUUCUUUGCCUGGAGUAUAUUCAAUACUCGGAUUGUACUCUUGAAUCAUUUCGACCCAUCAAGUCUGUCUGAGGUUGAGGUUGGGCUGAGUGAAGAUAUACUUGAGACUCUUGUGAUCGGUGAAAAUGUCCACUUGUCUUCCCAACAAGAGAUGUCUCCACGUUAUUAAUGCAUGGACAACUGCCGCCAACUCAAGAUCGUGAGUGGGGUUGUUCUUCUCGUUGGGCUUCAACUGACGAGAGGUAUAGGCCACAACUUUCUUCUCUUGCAUUAACACAGCACCGAGACCUUGGAGAGAAGCAUCACAGAAAACUUCAUAUGGCUUGGAUUCAUCAGGAGGAGUCAAGACAGGAGCUGUGACUAGUUUCUCUUUGAGAGUGUUGAAAGCAAUGUCACACUCAGGAGACCAGACAUACUUCACAUGCUUCUGGAGGAGGUUGGAAAGAGGCUUUGCAAUCUUGGAGAAAUUCUCAAUGAAUCUUCGACAAUAGCUUGCAAGACCAAGAAUACUGCGGAGCUGCUUGACAUUCUGAGGAGGUUCCCAAUUCACAAUUGCGGACACCUUCUCGGGGUUAACAGCGAAGCCGUUGGCAGAGAUGAUGUGACCAAGGAAAAGAACUUCAUCGAGCCAAAACUCACAUUUAGAGAACUUCACAUAGAAUUGAUACUCUCUGAGCUUGUCGAGCACCAAUCGCAAAUGUUUGGCAUGAUCCUUCUUAUUCUUGGAGAAGACCAAGAUAUCAUCGAGAUACACCAGGACGAAUUCAUUGGUAUAGGGGUUGAAGAUGUAAUUCAUCAUCCGAGAGAACACUGGAGGAGCAUUGACAAGGCCGAAAGACACGACAGUAUAUUCAUAAGAACCAAAGCUUGUUCUGAAUGCUGUCUUGGGAAUAUCUUCUUCACGAAUGCGAAUCUGAUGAUAACCCAUACGAAGGUCAAGCUUCGAGAAUACUUUAGAACCUUUGAGUUGCUCAAAUAGCUCAUUGAUGUUGGGAAGUGGAUACUUGUUCUUGAUUGUCUUCUUGUUCAAUGGACGGUAGUCGACACAAAGUCGGUCCGUGCCAUCCUUCUUCUUGACAAAAAGAACACCACAAACCCAUGGAGAAGAACUCGGUCUGAUCAAACCCAUACGCUCUUGUUCAUCGAGCUGUUUCUUCAAUUCCUUCAGCUCGUUGGGUCCAAGCUUGUAUGGACGCUUGCAAACGGGUUCAGUGCCAGGCUCUAGUUCGAUAACGAACUCAACUGGCCGAUGAGGAGGCAUACCCGGAAGCUCUUCUGGAAAGACAUCUUGAUACUCACAAACGACUGGAAUCUGAGAGAUGGCAUUGAAUUCGCCCUUCUCAUUGAGAGAGAAAAACCGAAUGGUUUCAUCACGAGCGGCAUAAAUAAUCACAUCCUCAGAAGAGUGUGUCAAUUGAAUUUCCCUGGCAGCACAAUCAAGUUGAGCCUUGUGCUUAGAAAGCCAGUCCAUCCCGAGAGUUAGAUCAAUAUCCGAGUCACCAAGAACAAUUGGAGAAGACAGAAAUUUAUAGUUUCCCAUCCUGAUGGAAACAUCCGGAACCAUAGAGCUUGCAUCCAUGAAUUUACCCGGAGAGACAACUGAUAACGGUCUAGGAAAAUCUUGAUAAACCAACUCAUGCUUAAAUGCAAAAGGUCUUGAUAUGAAAGAAAGCGAUGCACCAGUAUCAAAAAGAACUUUUGCAGGAAUAUUAUUAACAGGAAGAUUACCCAUUAUCACAUCAGUAGAUUCCUCCGCUUGAGCUGCAUUCAUCAUGUUCACCUUUGCAAACUUUGGAUUAUGCUUGACCACUGCAUUGCUGGAAGAUCUGACAGGAGGAGGAGGCGGCAGGCGCCUUUGGUUGAAGCAUUUGUUAGCAUAGUGACCUUUCUGCUGACAUUUGUUGCAAGUCACCUCUGAGAGUGGACGGUGAUAAGGAGCAUUGGACUUUGGAGCUUGAUUCUGAGACUUGUUCUGAUAGCCAGAGUUGGAAGAGUUGGAAGAACCAUGGCCACCUUUGUUCUUCUGCUGGAAAGGCUGACGAAACGAAGGAGGAGGAGGCAACCAGAACUUAUGUUGCUUAGCUGUCACAAGUGAGGAAGAAGAAGACUGAACUGCGUCUCUGACUCUCUUCUUAGAAGCCUCACACUAGAGCUGAGCAGCCUCUUGCUUCAGUGCCAUAUUACAGAAUUGAUCAAACUGAGUAGGCUCAACAAGAACGAGAGCUAACUGUAGAUCCUCUUUAAGGCCACCUUUGAAGUGAUAGAUCAUGCUCUUUUCAUCAGGAACAUCUUGUUUAGCGAAGCGAGCAAGUUUCUGAAACUGGAUGUUGUAUUGAUACACAAACAUGUUGCCUUGCUUGAGAUUGCGGAACUCCUCACGCUUGCUCUCAACAACACUUUGUGGAAUGUGAUGCGCUUUGAAAUCCCAACAGAAGUCAGUCCAAGUGAUCACACGACCUCCUCUGGAAUCUUUGUAUUGCUGCAACCAAUCAGCAGCUUGGUCCUUGAGCUGGAAAGAAGCGAACUUGACAUAGUCCUCAGGCCUGACAUUGCUACAUUCAAAAUGCUUGUUGAUGUCCACGAGCCAAUCAUCGGCAUCCGUGGCCUCGGCACAGUAGCUGAAAGACUUGGGCUGAUUUGCGAGAAACUGGUUGAGUGUAGCGAAGUGAAACUGAUUGUUGCCUUGACCUUGAUUGCCUUGAUUGCCUUGCCCUUGAGUACGUUCUUGCAAGAGUUGCAGAAUCAUCUGAGCAUUGGCGUUGGUGGCUGCCAUGAUAGCUUGCCAUGCCUCCGGAGGUGGAGGUGGUGGCGGAGGGUUCGCUUGAUUCCCUUCAUUGCGAUCCGGAUUCUGACACGUUGGCGGAGCCAUCCUGAAGAGGGUGACAUCCGUUAGCAUCUUGAUAGAGAAAUAGAUAAGUAGGAUCAACGGAUAGAAAUUGCAACAUAUAGUCUUCACGAUAAACAUUCAAACGAAGAUGAACGAAUGAAUUCCGUAGUAAAUCAUCACACUUCCAUAAGUUGAGAAGCCACUUAGAAAAGAUAUGGAAUCAACAUAUGACUUCGAAGCAACUCGAAUACCACAAAUGAAAACAAAACAAAGUAUUGGCUUGCAGAAUAAGCCGGAACAAACAUAUGAUAGAUAUUUCGUCCGAAGUUUUCGUGGUGGGGCCCACACGGGCUCAAUCGUACAGCACCAUCAUGUACAAGGCUGUGCACAUGACAUACGAGGCGUCCCCGAGUCGGCAUAGCCAUGGACUCUUUAAGACACUACGAGACCACUGUAAAAUCAACCGUGUACAGGCGGACCACUAGACGUCGAACCCCAAUCUCAUAUCAUGCGUCUGUCGGAAAGAUAUCCUAAGGCUACUAGAAUUCCCACUUAUAAACUCCCGAAACUUUCUGGUUAUGCAAUCUGGUGUUGGGGAUACAGGGGACACAAAAUAUAUCACACAAACUAGCAAUCCCUAGAUCCAGCUGUAUCCAUCCGUCAACACAUAACCGAGAAACCUUCGGAAAUCGUUUACCUCAACCUUCGAAAAGCAUCCGUUAUACAAGUUAUGGCAAUACUCCUGAACUCCCGCCCCAGUACUGGGUGGCGUCAAGGUGAUCUCACCAACAACUGCAUAAAAGAGAUUCCGAUGUCGGCGAAACUCAGGUAUUCCAGAACUGCAACGAUAAAAUUGUGACGACAACACCUCGGAGCUCAACUCCCCGGAACACUGCCACAACCCCUAAAUGUCAGGAGGCACCAAGAACAAUGUUCUCGUCACAAAACCAUCGGAACGAUUCCAAGAUACCCGCAUGAUCCUAAAUUUUUUUUAGUGAAAUUUGAGGAGAGAAUAGUCAAAACUUCUACGUCAGGAGACCUCACCAGAGCGACGAAGGGACUGAGGAGUAAAAAGAAUCCUACUCUCCGAUAUAUAUAAUCCUAAGACUCAAAACAUUUUUUUGUUCUAGACUCAACAACGCCAGCGAUUCGAUCAAGCAGGGUGCUCCUAAGUCGGGGAUGGCUCUGAUUACCAACUUGUAACGCCCACGAUGCGGCUAUAUCUCCCACGUGUCGAGGCACGACUUAGAGGCAUAACCGCAUAGUGGUUUUGUCGCAAGAAGGGUCAUCUUCACACAAUCCCAUGUAAUGAACAAGAAUGGGAUAAAGAGUUGGCUUACAAUCGCCACUUCACACAAUACAUAAAUAUAAUUCAGACAUCAUCCAAAAUACAAACAUAUAGACCGACUACGGCCAAAAUCCAGAUGAAAAUAAGACAACCCCAAAUGCUAGAUCCCCGAUCGUCCCAACUGGGCUCCACUACUGAUCAUCAGGAAAAGACACAUAAUAACGACCACGUUCCUCGUCGAACUCCCACUUGAGAUCGACCCCAUCAUCUGAACUGGCAUCGUCGGCACCUGCAACUGUUUUGGUAGAAUCUGUGAGUCACGGGGACUCAGCAAUCUCACACCCGUGAGAUCAAGACUAUUUAAGCUGUAGGAAAGGAUGGAGUAAUGAGGUGGAGCUGCAGCGGCAAUAAGCAUAUAUGGUGGCUAGCAUACACAAGAAAGAGCGAGAAGAGAAGCAACGGAAUGGUCGUCUUCUAGUAAUGACCAAGAAGUGAUCCUGAACUCCUACUUAUGUCAAACAUAACUCAGACCGUGUUCAAUUCCCGGACUCCGCCGAGAAGAGACCAUCACGGCUACACACGCAGUUGAUGUAUUUUAACUGGGUUAAGUGACAAGUUCUCUACAACCGGACAUUAACAAAUUCCCAUGUGCCUCAUAACCGCGGGCACGGCUUUCGAAAGAUAAUACCCUGCAGGGGUGUCCCAACUUAGCCCAUCAUAAGCUCUCACGGUCAACGAAGGAUAAACCUUCUCCCGGAAAGACCCGAUCAGUCUCGGAAUCCCGGUUUACAAGACAUUUCGACAAUGGUAAAACAAGACCAGCAAAGCCGCCCGAAUGUGCCGACAAAUCCCGAUAGGAGCUGCACAUAUCUCGUUCUCAGGGCACACCGGAUUGUCCAAGCUUCCGAUAGGCCAGCCCAAAGUUGUCCCUGGUGGCCACCGGCGACUGACAGUUUGGACCAAUACUGAGAGGAGCACUGGCCCGGGGGUUUAAAAUAAAGAUGACCCUCGGGCUCUAGAAAACCAGAGGGAAAAAGGUAUAGGUCGCAAAUGGUAAAACCAAGGUUGGGCCUUGCUGGAGGAGUUUUAUUCAAGGCGAACUGUCAAGGGGGUCCCAUAAAUCACGCGACCGCGUAAGGAACGCAAACUCAAGGAACAUAAUCCCGGUAUCACAGAAACUAGGGCGGCAAGAGUGGAACAAAACACCAGGCAUAAGGCCAAGCCUUCCACCCUUUACCAAAUAUAUAUAGAUGCAUUAAUUAAAUAAGAGAUAUUGUGAUAUCCCAACAUAUCCAUGUUCCGACAUGGAACAAACUUCAACUUCACCUGCAACUAGCAACGCUAUAAGAAGGGCUGAGCAAAAGCGGUAACUUAGCCAAACAACGGUUUGCUAGGAAAGGAUGGUUAGAGGCUGACAUGGCAAAAUGAGAGACAUGAUAUAGCAAGUGAUAGGUAGCGCAGCAUGGCAAUAGAGCGAACAACUAGCAAAGCAAAGAUAGAAGUGAUUUCGAGGGGUGGUCAUCUUGCCUGCAAGGUUCUCAGGGUUGUCGAAAGCUUGAUCCUCAUAAGCGUACUCAACAGGUUCCUCAUUCACGAACUCCCUCCCGGCUCUACCCAAGACAAGAACACAAGAAAACGGAACCACAAUUAAUCACGAGAAAUGCACAAGCAACAUGAUGCAAAACAUGUAUGAUAUGCGAUGCAUAUGCGUGCUCCGGAAGGAAAAAGAUGAACAAGGCAGUAACUUGGCAAACCAAGCAUACCACUGGAAAGAUGAGAUGAUUUCGGUCGAAAUCGAUAUAAAGAUCACCGGAAACGGAUGCACGGUUUGCAAAUGGCAAGCAAAACAAGAAUGACACGAAUCUGCGAUUAACAACAAGAUAGCACUUAAAAUGCAACAAGUAACAAUGCUACAGCACUCCAACAUAGCAACAAAGCAUAUUAAAGUAAUCUACAGGAGAUGCUUGACAAAAGAUGAACACUGAGCUACGGCUAGAUCACAACAUAACAAGCUCAAACAAGCAUGGAAAAAGUGCAAAAGAUAAGAGGAUCACAGACUGUGUGAAAAACUGGACAUGGCAGAAAACAGCAUCAGGUAGCAAUGUUCAGAGCACGAAAUCAAUAUGCUACAGAAACUUCACAUAGCAAAACAAGGCAUGUAAGUAUUCUACUAAAUGCAUAUGACAAAUUCCCUUACUGACCAUAAGCCAAAAGGACCAGAAGAUAUGAUGGCAAGCAUGUGAACAUAGCAAGUCUCGUUAUCAGGUUCCAGACUUAGAAAACAGAGCAUGGCAGAAACAAUAAUAUGUAGGCAUCUUUGUGAGCUCCAUACACUCACCACAUAGCAAUGCAUGACAAAACAAGCAUACCUACAGCAAGAUGGCAUGUUUAUGAAGCUAACCAUGGAAAGAGCAAAUACAUAGCAUGUAUGGAUCAACUACAAUAAGCUUGGCAAAAAUGAAUAUCAUGUUAAGAAUCUGCCAGAAAUAUUUUAUAGCAGAAGUAGAGCAAGAUUGAGUCAUGCUAUGGCACUCCAUAAUUUCAAACAAGGGCAGGAGUUGAUCAAUUACAACUAUAGCUACAAAACAUCCUUACUGACAUCUCCAAAAUAUGCAUGGAUCUCUCUGCAGCGUCAAGUUUACAUGGCAACAAAAUAACAGCAGACAAGGACUUAGAGAAAUAACUAAGUCCCUGAAAUCAGAAACAUUACGGAGCCUAGUUUGCAUGCUUGUGCUAGUCACCACAGGGAUCAAAAAAAUACAUGGCAUACACUCUUGGAAAUAUGGCAUGGCAUACAAUAAAACACAUGUAGAGCUCAUGCCCAUAAGAUGCACAGAUUAAAUGAUACAAAAAUGACAAAUCUCCAAGUUCUGUUAAGAACCAUAGGAUAACAGCAACUUGCCCUCUUGCAACAGAUAUUUGGGCAUCAAGAUGACCUCUAAUGAACAUGGUGCAAUUGAACAAAAUUUAGAGCAUCACGAGACGAACAAUUUGACAAAUUACACGCGCGAAAUGGAGAUACAUGCAAGGAGUUAUGCACUGUUAAACAUGAGCAUAUAUUAAAAAAAUCACAGACUAGGAAAAAUAUGGGGGUCGGGGAAAGUCAACGCUACAGUGAUUUCUGGAUCCAGAUCGGAUCGAGGGACUAUUCUUGGGCACGGGCUCGCCGGCCGGAGCUCUCGAGCUUGCCGUGGGAGAGGAGAGGGAGAAGGCCGGAGGGAGGCGGUGGAGGGGCGCGGCGAACUGCGGCAGGGCACGGUGCCGGGCGGCGCGACGCCUCGGGCGCGACGNNNNNNNNNNNNNNNNNNNNNNNNNNNNNNNNNNNNNNNNNNNNNNNNNNNNNNNNNNNNNNNNNNNNNNNNNNNNNNNNNNNNNNNNNNNNNNNNNNNNNNNNNNNNNNNNNNNNNNNNNNNNNNNNNNNNNNNNNNNNNNNNNNNNNNNNNNNNNNNNNNNNNNNNNNNNNNNNNNNNNNNNNNNNNNNNNNNNNNNNNNNNNNNNNNNNNNNNNNNNNNNNNNNNNNNNNNNNNNNNNNNNNNNNNNNNNNNNNNNNNNNNNNNNNNNNNNNNNNNNNNNNNNNNNNNNNNNNNNNNNNNNNNNNNNNNNNNNNNNNNNNNNNNNNNNNNNNNNNNNNNNNNNNNNNNNNNNNNNNNNAUGCGGGCUCGGGCGGGCCCUCCUCGGGCUCGCCGGGCCGGCGGCGGCGGGGCUGAUGACGCGGCGGCGCGCGAUUCAUCGGGGCGGCGGUGGUGGACGCGUCCAGCUCCGCCCGGACGUGUCCGGCGGCGGAGAGGGACGAGGGUUAGUGUUGGAUUGUGUUUGUAUCUCGGGAGAGAUGCAUUUAAAUAGGUAGAGGGAGCUAGGAGGCUCCAAAUGAGGUGCGGUUUUCGCCCACACGAUCGUGAUCGAACGACCUAGAGAAUGGAAGAGAGUUUGGUGGGUUUUGGGCUGGUUUUUUAGGGGUUUUUGCUGGACACUCAAAUGAACUUUGCGGAUGCACGGUUAACCGUUGGAGUACCAAACGACCUCCAAAUGGAACGAAACUUGACCGGUGAUCUCCGGGUGGUAUAAUAAGGCCACUUGGCAAGCCUCGGUCCAUUCCGAGAAAGUUUGACACCCGCACACGAAAGAAAACAAGAGGGGUGCACCGGAGGAGAUAGGAGCGCCGGAUUGCAAAACGGACAACGGGGAAAAUGCUCGGAUGCAUGAGACGAACACGUAUGCAAAUGCAAUGCGCAUGAUGAAAUGAUAUGACAUUCAUGACAAGGACGAAAGCAAAACGAAAGACAAAGCCCGACCACGGAGGGAAUAGCAUAUCACAUAGCCGAAAAUCGCAAGAGUUAGAGUUACAAAUAUGGCAAGUUACAUCCGGGGUGUUACACCAAUUUUAAUAAACUUUAUAUGUAAAUGGGGUAGAAAAAUGCAUAGAUUAACUUGGUGCACUUUGUUUUACUGCUUAACAACAUUAAAAU
rnacentral:lncRNA from 1 species